rnacentral:lncRNA from 1 species
AGAGAGAGAGAGUUAGUAGGAGAGAGAGAGUUAGUAGGAGAGAGAGAGUUAGUAGGAGAGAGAGAGUUAGUAGGGGAGAGAGAGAGUUAGUAAGGGAGAGAGAGUUAGUAGGAGUGAGAGAGUUAGUAGGAGUGAGAGUUAGUAGGUGAGAGAGAGUGAGUAAGAGAGAGAGAGUUAGUAGGAGAGAGAGGGAGAGUUAGUAGGAGAGAGAGAGAGUUAGUAGGAGUGAGAGAGUCAGGUGGAGAUAGAGAGAGAGUUAGUAGGAGAGAGAGAGUUAGUAGGAGUGAGAGAGUUUGUAGGAGUGAGAGAGUUAGUAGGUGAGAGAGUGAGUAAGAGAGAGAGAGUUAGUAGGAGAGAGAGAGAGUGAGUAGGAGUGAGAGAGUUAGUAGGAGUGAGAGAGUUAGUAGUUGAGAGAGAGUGAGUAAGAGAGAGAGAGUGAGUAGGAUAAAGAGAGAGUUAGUAGGAUUGAGAGAGUUAGUAGGUGAGAGAGAGUUAGAGAGAGAGAGAGUUAGUAGGAGAGAGAGAGAGUUAGUAGGAGUGAGAGAGUCAGGUGGAGAUAG